ensembl:lncRNA
GGGGAGAGGCGGGUCUGCGGCCAUGUGUUUUCACUUUAAAAUUACAUUGAAGAGGAACAGAGGGGGUUAGAAACAAAAAUAAGAAAGAGAGAUAUAAGACAGGCUGUGUUUAAAGGGAAAAUGUGAGAAAACGAAGAGUCAAAACAGAAGUCCUCUUGGCUUGGCCGGAGGGGCCCGAGGCCGCUCCACCCUGAUAGCAAAGAACGACCUUCUCAGAGAGCAGAGCCAUCCCUCCAACCUGGGGAUGGACGCAGGAGCUUGCCAUGCAGAAAAGCCCACACACCAAAAGGUGGGGUGCUGGGACAGGACUUAAAAAGUCAGGAGACAUUCUGGGGUGGCCUGGAUUAAAGACAGGCCCAUCUGGGAAUCUCCCCCCGACUCCCCAGGGCAGGGAUUGGAGGCAGCCAGCCAUCCUGUCUUAAAGACCAACCUACAACUACCGCCCUGUUCCUCAACAAGUCAUGACACCGCCUUCGUCUGUAGCUGCUUGUUACGGGCUGAUUUGUGUCCACCACCCACCCCCCAGCCCAGAGUCAUAUGUUGAAGAACGAACCCCCACUAUUUGAGAAUGUAACUGUAUUUGGCCAUAAGGGUUUUUAAAGGGUCUGAGUUAAAAUGAGGCUGUUAGUGUGGGUCCUGACUCGAUGGUACUGAUGUCUUUAUAGAAAUAGACCCAGGGGUGUGUGCACACAGACGAAAGAGCACGUAAGGACACAGAAGAGAGCUAUCUGCAAGCGGAGGGGAGAGGGGUCAGGAGAAGCCAGCCCUGCUGGCACCUUGAUCUUGGACUGCCAGCCUGCAGAACUACGAGAAAAUACACCUCUGCUGUUUAAGUCGCCCAGCGUGGAGUGGAGUGUUAGAGCAUCCUCGCAAACUAAUUGAGGGAGGAAACCAUGCCCACAUCACCCAUUAAAGACGGGCUGUUUUCUUGCAGGCCCCCAAAUGGAAAGAAUCAUGUGGUUUCUCACUCUAACACCAGGGGAUCUGCUUAGUUUCUGCCCCCUUCACUGCCCAGGGCAUAUUGUAAAAGCCAUCUGGACACUGUAAUUAUUCAUGGACUUCCGGACGCGUCUAACCUCAUCUUGGAAGUGAUAUGGUGGCUCAGUAAAGAAUCUUCCUGCAGUGUAGACCUGGGUUCGAUUCCUGGGUCAGGAAGAUCCCCUGGAGAAGGGGUUGGCAACCCACUGCAGUAUUCUUGCCUGGAGAACCCCAUGUACAGAAGAGCCUGGAGGCUACAGUCCAUGGGGUCGCAAAGAGACACGACUGAGCGACUAAUACCUUCACCUUGGAACCAAUAUAAAAUCACUUCUCCUGUUUCUGUGAAUACACUGGGAGGGAGUUACUCCAGCUGUGAAUACUCAGAGGAUCUGGUGGGCAUCUUGGGAGCUGCCUACCCCUGACCUUCCCAGCCCUUCCACGGACUGGCUCGGGGAAGGGCUGUGACCUUUAUGGGUCUCCCUAGUUGUUUCUGUCUGCAUACUGACAAAUGAUGAUUGCAGGGUGAUGGCCUACUCAGGUGGUUUCCUGUGCUGUCUCAUUCAAUUGGUAUAACAGUCGCCAGAGGCAGGGAUUCUGUUUCCAUCUUCAUGACUGGGGAACCGCUAGCUAAAUAUUCAGGAGGUCUUGAACUCAGGGCAGCUCUUUCCUGAGCUGCCAUGUUUUUAAUGCGUGAAUGGAGAGUGCUGGACUCCAGAGUUCCUCCCGGCUCGUCUGUCUCCAAGAAGCCUUGGGCUCUGGGGCAGGCUUUCACCCCAAUGCUGGGG